rnacentral:lncRNA from 1 species
UUACACACACACUACAAGUAGGUUACACACCCCUUACUACCUGUGAGUUACACACACCCCAGAAAUAGGGGAAUUUGUCCCCAAAACCAUGCCGAGAAGCCUUUUUGGGUGAGGAUUUGAGGAAGGAAGCGGAGCCGCAAAGUUUGGGUUUAAUUUUAGUGGUUUUGGGUUUUCUUCUUCCCCUUUUUGAGCGGCCAGCGGGGGUUGGUUUGGGUGAUUUUGGGGUGGAAAGAAGGGAUUUUUUGGGUUUAAACUGCGGCGGUUUGGGAAAAGUUGUAAACACCUCGUGGUUGUGCUGAGGAAAGCGGAGAAAAGGGAGUAACAAAAUGCGGGAUUUCUGCCCAGCGUUUACCAUAUAUGGAAGAAAAGCAUCCUGCGCUUCAAAACAUCAAUAAAAAAGAAAAUAACGAGGAUUAAUUGAACCGUUUUCAGAGAAAUUUGCCUUUAAUUCUUUCCCCAGAAAAAAAAAAACAAAAACAAAAAACCACCGGUUGAGGAGCGGUAAAAGCGCCAUUUCUUAUCAGAAGGGGGCUUUUUGGGGGCAAAGAGGGAGAUUUUGGGUUCUCCCCCCAUUAUUUAGGCCCCCCCCUCCCCACUGGCGUCAUACAUGCCCAUUUUGCGGCCUUUCGCCCCAUUUUGGGGCUUUUGCUCUCUUUCGGGGGGGUCCUGUUUUGGGGAAGUUUUGCUCAGUUUGGGGACUCAACGCCGUGCUUUGGGGUAUGGCUACUCCAUUUUGGGGCCAGAUACCCUGUUUUGGGGCCGGAUGUUCAGUUUUGGGGUCAGACACCCCAUUUAGGGACUAGAUACUCUGUUUUUGGGCCAGACACCCUGUUUUGGGGCUAGACACUCCGUUUUGGGGCCAGACACCCUGUUUUGGGGCUGAACAACCCGUUUUGGGGCUGAACACCCCGUUUUGGGGCCAGACACCCAAUUUUUGGGGCCAAACACCCCGUUUUUGGGGCCUCAGGUGUCCGUCACCGUCCUUUAUUGGGGCGCUGCCCCUUCGGCCUCGGCCUCCGCGUCCCCAUCGGCCUCCUCCUCCUCCUCCUCCUCCUCCUCUUCCUCAUCUUCAUCCCCAUCUUCAUCUUCAUCAUCUUCAUCUUCCUCCUCCUCUUCCUCCUCCUCCUCCUCGCCGCCCCCCCCCCCGGUUGGUGUUGACGAACAGCUCCGGCUCCCCGCUCCUGGGGGGGGGGCAGCCCCUCGUUAAUCACCCCCCUCGUUAAUUAGCCCCCUCCUUAAUUACCCCCCGCCCUCAUUAAUUAGCCCCCACCCUUCUUAAUUGCCCCCCCCCCNNNNNNNNNNNNNNNNNNNNNNNNNNNNNNNNNNNNNNNNNNNNNNNNNNNNNNNNNNNNNNNNNNNNNNNNNNNNNNNNNNNNNNNNNNNNNNNNNNNNCCCCCCCCCCCAUUCAUCCCCCUCCCUGCCUUCAACUCCCCCUCCCCAAUUAAUUACCCUAUUAAUUAACCCCACUUAAUUACCAUAUUAAUUAACCUCAAUUAGUUACCCUACUAGUUAACCCCAAUUAAUUACCCUAUUAAUAACCCCAAUUAAUUAAACCCCAAUUAAUUACCCUAUUACUCCCAAAUUUAUUACCCUAUUAAUUAACCCCCAAUCAGUUACCCUAUUAAUUAGCCCCCAGUUAGUUACCCUAUUAAUCCCAAAUUGAUUACCCUAUUAAUUAACCCCCAAAUUAAUCACCCCAAUUAACCUCCCUGUUAAUUACCCUAUUUGUUCCUUCCCUCAUUAAUCACCCCGUUAAUCACCCUCAUUAAUUCCCACUGCUCCCAAUUAACCUUCCCCAUUAAUCCCACUCCCAAUUAACUCCCUCCUCAUUAAUCACCCCCCAUUAACUCCCCCUUCCCCAAGCCCCCCACUAAUUACUCUCCCCCCAUUAACCCCACGCUAAUUACUCCCCCCAUUAAUCCCCUCCUUAAUUUCUCCCCCAAUUCCCCUCCCACUAAUUACUCCCCCACUAAUUACUCUCCCCAUUUAUCACCCCUUCAUCCCCCAAUUAACCCCCCCACUAAUUACCCUCCCACAAACCCCUACUAAGCCCCAUUAACUACCUCUCCCCUAAUUAAUUACCCCCCGAUUAAUUACCCCCAAUUAACCCCCCUCCCAUUAACCCCCCACUAAUUAC